rnacentral:rRNA from 1 species
AGUUUGAUCAGUCGGCUACGAGGACGAACGCUGGCGGUGUGCUUCACACAUGCAAGUCGAACGAGGUAGCAAUACCUAGUGGCGGACGGGUGAGUAACGCGUGGGAAUCUGCCUUUAGAUGGGGGAUAACGGGUCGAAAGACUCGCUAAUACCGCAUAUGACGAAAGUUGAAAGGAGUAAUCCGUCUAAAGAUGAGCCCGCGUCCGAUUAGCUAGUUGGUAGAGUAAAAGCCUACCAAGGCGACGAUCGGUAGCUGGUCUGAGAGGAUGAUCAGCCACAAUGGGACUGAGACACGGCCCAUACUCCUACGGGAGGCAGCAGUGGGGAAUUUUACGCAAUGGGCGAAAGCCUGACGUAGCGACACCGCGUGAGCGAAGAAGCCCCUUGGGGUGUAAAGCUCUGUCAGCUGGAACGAAAAAAAUGACGGUACCAGCAGAGGAAGCAUCGGCUAACUACGUG